GAGGGGGCGGCGCGGCCGCCGGUGGGGGGCGCUGAGCUCAGAGCUGCCGCAGCGCCGGAGCCGGAGCGCGCGAGCUAGCAGGGCGCUAGGAGCACCCGUGGUGGCAACGCACCCAAGACCCGGGCACCGCUGCGCCCCUGCUCAGGGUCCGUGACUGUAGCUCCUGAUCACGGCCAGAACCCCCACUGGCCCCGAGCCCACCCCAGCCCGGCCUAGCCGAGCCCCCGCGUCUGCUAGCAGCAGCCGCCGCAGCCGCCGCUCCAACCCCAGCCCGGGCCCCGCAACCAGGUGAGGCGGC
rnacentral:lncRNA from 1 species